GAUGAAGAACGUAGCGAAAUGCGAUACGUAAUGUGAAUUGCAGAAUUCAGUGAAUCAUCGAGUCUUUGAACGCACAUUGCGCCCGGCAGUAAUCUGCCGGGCAUGCCUGUCCGAGCGUCAUUUCUGCCCUCGAGCGAGUCCAGCAUCUAGGUGCUGGGCCCGCCCGGCGUUGGGGCACUACGGGAAGCCCUGUGCUGUCCCCCGUAGGCCCCGAAAUGAAGUGGCGGUCCUGCCGCGGCGCCCCCUGCGUAGUAUAACAGCUCGCUUCGGGACCCGGUGGAGGCCUGCCGUCAAACCUUACUCUCUAAGUUUGACCUCGGAUCAGGUAGGGUUACCCGCUGAACUUAAGCAUAUCAAUAAGCGGAGGA
rnacentral:misc_RNA from 1 species